AGAACGAACGCUGGCGGCAUGCCUAAUACAUGCAAGUCGAACGAACUCUUCGGAGUUAGUGGCGCACGGGUGCGUAACGCGUGGGAAUCUGCCCCUUGGUUCGGAAUAACAGUUGGAAACGACUGCUAAUACCGGAUGAUGACGAAAGUCCAAAGAUUUAUCGCCAAGGGAUGAGCCCGCGUAGGAUUAGCUAGUUGGUGAGGUAAAGGCUCACCAAGGCAACGAUCCUUAGCUGGUCUGAGAGGAUGAUCAGCCACACUGGGACUGAGACACGGCCCAGACUCCUACGGGAGGCAGCAGUAGGGAAUAUUGGACAAUGGGCGAAAGGCCUGAUCCAGCAAUGCCGCGUGAGUGAUGAAGGCCUUAGGUUGUAAAGCUUCGUUUACCCGAGAUGAUAAUGACAGUAUCGGAGAAUAAGCCCCGGCUAACCUCCGU
rnacentral:rRNA from 1 species